GACGAACCGUGCGAACGUUGUUCGGAAUCACUGGGCUUAAAGGGCGCGUAGGCGGGCUAUCAAGUCCGGGGUGAAAUCCUCCAGCUUAACUGGAGAACGGCCUCGGAUACUGAUGGUCUCGAGGAGGAUAGGGGCACACGGAACUGUGGGUGGAGCGGUGAAAUGCGUUGAUAUCCAUAGGAACUCCGGUGGCGAAAGCGGUGUGCUGGAUCCUUUCUGACGCUGAGGCGCGAAAGCGUGGGGAGCAAACGGG
rnacentral:rRNA from 1 species